rnacentral:tRNA from 1 species
GGAGACGUGGCAGAGUGGCCUAAUGCACCGGCGUUGAAUCCCGGCGAGCCGUAAGGCUCCGUCCGUUCGAAUCGGACCGUCUCCGCCA